ACUACGGGGGACAGCAGGGAGGAAUAUUGGUCAAUGGGCGCGAGCCUGAACCAGCAAAGUAGCGUGAAGGAUGACUGCCCUACGGGUUGUAAACUUGUUUUAUAAAGGAAUAAAGUGAGGCACGUGUGCCUUUUUGUAUGUACUUUAUGAAUAAGGAUCGGCUAACUCCGUGCCAGCAGCCGCGGUAAUCCGGAGGAUCCGAGCGUUAUCCGGAUUUAUUGGUUUUAAAGGGAGCGUAGAUGGGUUGUUAAGUCAGUUGUGAAAGUUUGCGGCUCAACCGUAAAAUUGCAAUUGAUACUGGCAGCCUUGAGUACAGUUGAGGUAGGCGGAAUUCGUGGUGUAGCGGUGAAAUGCUUAGAUAUCACGAAGAACUCCGAUUGCGAAGGCAGCUUACUAAACUGCCACUGACAUUGAUGCUCGAAAGUGUGGGUAUCAAACAGGAUUAGAUACCCGAGUAGUC
rnacentral:rRNA from 1 species